rnacentral:rRNA from 1 species
UACAGAGGUCUCAAGCGUUGUUCGGAUUCAUUGGGCGUAAAGGGUGCGUAGGCGGCGCGGUAAGUCGGGUGUGAAAUCUCGGAGCUUAACUCCGAAACUGCAUUCGAUACUGCCGUGCUUGAGGACUGGAGAGGAGACUGGAAUUUACGGUGUAGCGGUGAAAUGCGUAGAUAUCGUAAGGAAGACCAGUGGCGAAGGCGGGUCUCUGGACAGUUCCUGACGCUGAGGCACGGGAGGCCAGGGGGAGCAAACGGG